GAUGAACGCUGGCGGCGUGCUUAACACAUGCCAGUCGAACGGUGAAGCUCCAGCUUGCUGGAGUGGAUCAGUGGCGAACGGGUGAGUAACACGUGAGCAACCUGCCCCUGACUCUGGGAUAACAGCCGGAAACGGCUGCUAAUACCGGAUAUGCACCAUGAACGCAUGUUCUGUGGUGGGAAAGAUUUUUCGGUUGGGGAUGGGCUCGCGGCCUAUCAGCUUGUUGGUGAGGUAAUGGCUCACCAAGGCGUCGACGGGUAGCCGGCCUGAGAGGGUGACCGGCCACACUGGGACUGAGACACGGCCCAGACUCCUACGGGAGGCAGCAGUGGGGAAUAUUGCACAAUGGGCGAAAGCCUGAUGCAGCAACGCCGCGUGGGGGAUGACGGCCUUCGGGUUGUAAACCUCUUUUAGCAGGGAAGAAGCGAGAGUGACGGUACCUGCAGAAAAAGCGCCGGCUAACUACGUG
rnacentral:rRNA from 1 species